rnacentral:rRNA from 1 species
UCCGUAGUGACUGCGGAGGUCAUUAUCGAGAGCGGUUUCGGUCGCCAGGGAGGGGGGUGGAUCCCUCCUCCCGUUCUCUUACCCUGUGAUUAUCUACCACUGUUGCUUUGGCGGGCCCGUUGGGUCCGGCCGGUCCGAACCCCGCCAAAAGCUCCCUUUACAAAAUUCGCCGUGUACGUGUAGUCUGAGUCCCGCGGGAAUACAAUAUAAAACUUUCAACAACGGAUCUCUUGGUUCUGGCAUCGAUGAAGAACGCAGCGAAAUGCGAUAAGUAAUGUGAAUUGCAGAGCUCCAGUGAACCAUCGAAUCUUUGAACGCACAUUGCGCCCCUCGGUAUUCCGGGGGGCAUGCCUGUCCGAGCGUCAUUGCACCCCUCAAGCGUAGCUUGGUCUUGGGCCCUCGCCUUUGUCCCCUCGGGGCAGGGCGCGCCCGAAAAGCAGUGGCGGUCCGGCGUGGCUCCAGGCGUAGUAGACUUACCUCCCGCCUGUGGGUCCCGCGCCGCGGCCUGCCGGCCAAUCCCCUCCCCUUCUCGGUGGAGAUGCUCUUCACCUCAAUGAUGGACCUCGGAUCAGGUAGGGAUACCCGCUGAACUUAAGCAUACAAAAA